GAUGAACGCUGGCGGCGUGCCUAAUACAUGCAAGUCGAGCGAACAGAUAAGGAGCUUGCUCCUUUGACGUUAGCAGCGGACGGGUGAGUAACACGUGGGUAACCUACCUAUAAGACUGGAAUAACUCCGGGAAACCGGGGCUAAUGCCGGAUAACAUUUAGAACCGCAUGGUUCUAAAGUGAAAGAUGGUUUUGCUAUCACUUAUAGAUGGACCCGCGCCGUAUUAGCUAGUUGGUAAGGUAACGGCUUACCAAGGCAACGAUACGUAGCCGACCUGAGAGGGUGAUCGGCCACACUGGAACUGAGACACGGUCCAGACUCCUACGGGAGGCAGCAGUAGGGAAUCUUCCGCAAUGGGCGAAAGCCUGACGGAGCAACGCCGCGUGAGUGAUGAAGGUCUUCGGAUCGUAAAACUCUGUUAUUAGGGAAGAACAAAUGUGUAAGUAACUGUGCACGUCUUGACGGUACCUAAUCAGAAAGCCACGGCUAACUACGUG
rnacentral:rRNA from 1 species